rnacentral:rRNA from 1 species
GACGAACGCUGGCGGCGUGCUUAACACAUGCAAGUCGAGCGCUGAACCCGCUUCGGUGGGGGAUGAGUGGCGAACGGGUGAGUAACACGUGGGCAACCUGCCCCCGGCUCUGGGAUAACUCCAAGAAAUUGGGCUAAUACCGGAUGUGACCGCUGGCCGCAUGGUCUGGUGGUGGGAAGGGUUUCCGGCUGGGGAUGGGCCCGCGGCCUAUCAGCUUGUUGGUGGGGUAGUGGCCUACCAAGGCGACGACGGGUAGCCGGCCUGAGAGGGUGACCGGCCACACUGGGACUGAGACACGGCCCAGACUCCUACGGGAGGCAGCAGUGGGGAAUAUUGCGCAAUGGGCGGAAGCCUGACGCAGCGACGCCGCGUGGGGGAUGACGGCCUUCGGGUUGUAAACCUCUUUCAGCAGGGACGAAGCGCAAGUGACGGUACCUGCAGAAGAAGCACCGGCCAACUACGUG